UACGUAGGGACCGAGCGUUGUCCGGAUUCAUUGGGCGUAAAGAGCUCGUAGGCGGCUGCUCAAGUCGAAUGUGAAACCUCGAGGCUCAACCUCGAGCCUGCAUUCGGUACUGGGCAGCUAGAGUCGUGGUAGGGGAUCUGGAAUUCCUGGUGUAGCGGUGGAAUGCGCAGAUAUCAGGAGGAACACCGGUGGCGAAGGCGGGAUCCUGGGCCAGUACUGACGCUGAGGAGCGAAAGCGUGGGGAGCAAACAGGG
rnacentral:rRNA from 1 species